AAAUUAUUCCUUACAACUUCUUAAAUUUACAUAUUUACCUUCUUCCCGCUGCGUUUCUUUAUUCUUUUUUGGUGUUUUACAAAAUUAUUAGUAGAUAUACUUCAAUCUGGUUAUAUGCUAGCUUGAUUAAGUAAUAUUAUUUGCCUGCUAUUAUGGUACCCUGUGGACCAAUAUGGCUGCUGUUUUGAUGGUUAUCUCACUAAUGAAGUCUAGUUUUUGCCUUCUUUUGUCAUCACUACUGAAAUUUGCACGAAAUGAUUCUUUAGUUUUGUCGUAUAAUGUGGGUUAACCUUUUCAGAGGACGGAUUACAAUUUCGUUUAAUUAUCCUUUUCACAGUUCUACUAGAAAUGAGCUAUGUUUAUGCAUUGAUUACUUACAAGCUUAGUUAUUUAAUCUGUAGGGGACUCAUUUGAAUUUGAUAUCACCUUUUGUUCAGGUUAAGAACAAGUCGGAGGAAUUCAGCACUGGGUCACUUUCUGUUCUCAUGAUGAGUGUUAGGAAUAACACAGGUACCUUUUGCAAAUUCUGUUUUUCCUAGUGUUACUUUCUCAUAAAACCAUUAAAUUAAAAUACUAGCUAUGUUUCACUUGAAAUUGAGUGUUGUCUUAGCAAGUGCGACAAUUGUCGGGCUGUUUGGGAAACUUAAGUCUGUUUAGCUGGGAUAACCUGAUUUGGCUGAACGGAUUGUAACAGAACUAGGUAGCUAUGAGUCUGGGUGCAAUAGUCCAAACACUCCCCUUAUAUAUGGCCCUAAGUUCUUGGCUUGGCUGGUGAAAUCAACGAGGUUGACAUGGGUGCUCCAUCAACUGCCGUAACAACAAGAAGCUUCUUGGACGUGUGAGGACAUUUGAUCGACACUGCAACAUGGUUCUGGAAAAUGUCAGGAAGAUGUGGACUGAGGUAUAUAACUAUACUCUUUUCAUUUGGGUGCCAAAAACUGGGAAAGGCAAGAAGAAAGCUCAGCCAGUAAACAAAGAUAGAUUCAUCAGUAAAAUGUUCCUCCGAGGAGACUCUGUUAUCAUUGUCCUGAGGAAUCCAGAAUGAGACGUGCUGACUUUUGUGAUCUUGCUCAACUUUUUGCCUUCUUGCUUGCUUCGUCUCCUUUCGAGGAGGUGUGCGAAUCAUGUGGUCUUAAUGGAUCUUUAUGAGGCUAAGCUGUGUUGUGUUGAAGAAUUAUAAAAUUACUGACCUUUUUUUUGCUUAAUAGUUGGGUUUUGGACACUGAUCUUAUUUCUUUUGGCACAGUUUAUGUUUAGUGGCGGAGGAUUUAUGUGUUUGUCUUUAUUGUUGCUUCUUGCUUAUCAAUGUGAAUUCCAAUGUACACGUGUUGGCCGGAUUGCCUAG